AUGCAGCAUGCCGCGUGUGUGAAGAAGGCCUUCGGGUUGUAAAGCACUUUCAGUCGUGAGGAAGGUGGUGUCGUUAAUAGCUGCAGUAUUUGACGUUAGCGACAGAAGAAGCACCGGCUAACUCCGUGCCAGCAGCCGCGGUAAUACGGAGGGUGCGAGCGUUAAUCGGAAUUACUGGGCGUAAAGCGCAUGCAGGUGGUUUGUUAAGUCAGAUGUGAAAGCCCGGGGCUCAACCUCGGAAUAGCAUUUGAAACUGGCAGACUAGAGUACUGUAGAGGGGGGUAGAAUUUCAGGUGUAGCGGUGAAAUGCGUAGAGAUCUGAAGGAAUACCGGUGGCGAAGGCGGCCCCCUGGACAGAUACUGACACUCAGAUGCGAAAGCGUGGGGAGCAAACAGGAUUAGAUACCCUGGUAGUCCACGCCGUAAACGAUGUCUACUUGGAGGUUGUGGCCUUGAGCCGUGGCUUUCGGAGCUAACGCGUUAAGUAGACCGCCUGGGGAGUACGGUCGCAAGAUUAAAACUCAAAUGAAUUGACGGGGGCCCGCACAAGCGGUGGAGCAUGUGGUUUAAUUCGAUGCAACGCGAAGAACCUUACCUACUCUUGACAUCCAGAGAACUUUCCAGAGAUGGAUUGGUGCCUUCGGGAACUCUGAGACAGGUGCUGCAUGGCUGUCGUCAGCUCGUGUUGUGAAAUGUUGGGUUAAGUCCCGCAACGAGCGCAACCCUUAUCCUUGUUUGCCAGCGAGUAAUGUCGGGAACUCCAGGGAGACUGCCGGUGAUAAACCGGAGGAAGGUGGGGACGACGUCAAGUCAUCAUGGCCCUUACGAGUAGGGCUACACACGUGCUACAAUGGCGCAUACAGAGGGCGGCCAACUUGCGAGAGUGAGCGAAUCCCAAAAAGUGCGUCGUAGUCCGGAUUGGAGUCUGCAACUCGACUCCAUGAAGUCGGAAUCGCUAGUAAUCGUGGAUCAGAAUGCCACGGUGAAUACGUUCCCGGGCCUUGUACACACCGCCCGUCACACCAUGGGAGUGGGCUGCAAAAGAAGUAGGUAGUUUAACCUUCGGGGGGACGCUUACCACUUUGGGGGUCAUGACUGGGUGAUCGU
rnacentral:rRNA from 1 species